AGACAUGUGAGGUACUCUGGGAGCCUGACUGUCAGAGUAGAAGAGCCCCAAAUCCAUAGAGCCCUUAAGAUACCUAAGAACAUGUAGGGAAGCAGACAUUUGAGGUACUCUGAAAGCCUUCAAAAACUGACUCAAAUGUCGAACAGCAAAACAAAUGUCAGGUCUGGUAUGUGUCAAGAAGAGGAGCUUGCCAACCAAGCUCCUGUAAUGUUCUGGAGAAGAGAAAAGAUCACCAGAAUCAGCAUGCAAUUUGGUAUUAAGGUCCAAAGGACAGACCACAGGGGAGACAUCUACAUAGUCAAACUGAUGCAGUAAAUCAGAGACAAACUUGUGCUGAUUAAGGAGCACACCACCAGCAACAGUGGACACCUCAAUGCCCAGAAAAUAGUGCAAAAACCCAAGGUCUUUGAUUCUGAAUUGGUCAUCCAGGAAGAGCUUGAGGAAAGAAAGUUCAGCAACAUCAUCUCCAGUGAUAAUAAUGUCAUCCACAUACAUAGCCAGAACCACAAGAUACCCAUGCUGGCCCUUGACAAAUAUAGAGUAGUCAUUCAUAGAAUGGACAUAGCCUCUGGACUAUAGAGCAUGAGACAAUAUGACAUACCACUGCCUGGAAGCCUGUCUCAAUCCAUAAAGGGAUUUCUGUAACUUGCACACAAGGGAUGCAGAAACAGAGGGAUCAGAAGAGGCAGAAACACACAAACCUGGAGGAAGCUUCAUAUAGACCUCCUCAUCAAGGUCACCAUGCAAGAAGGCAUUAUUAACAUCAAGUUGAAAGAGACUCCAAUGUUUCUUAACAGCCACAGCAAUCAAGCAUUUAACAGUAGACAUCUUGACCACAGGGGAAAAUGUUUCUGUGAAAUCAACACCUUCAAUUUGAGUGUCGCCCCUAAUGACAAGCC
rnacentral:lncRNA from 1 species